rnacentral:tRNA from 1 species
GAAAGAGUAGUUUAAUUAAAACAUUGAUUUUGUAAAUCAAAGAAGGCUGUCUUUCA